rnacentral:snoRNA from 1 species
CCCAGUCCUCAGUCAGCUGGCAGACUGGUGUCUGUCAGUGUUACAGGGCUGGUAGAGGAAGUUCUGCAGGCGCCUCGAUGCAUGCUCGGUUCUAGAGCGUGUCUGCGAGGUGCUGCAGAGCGCAGGUCUGUCAGAUCUGUCCUGAUCCACUGCAGUUCAGAUCAUGCAGCAGAGCUGCACACG